AUUGAAUCUAUCGUGCUCACACCGUGAACCAUUUAUGCCCUUUCUGAAAGGCUGCUCCUGAAAGGGAGGUUACCCUUUGAAAGCGCAGGUCAGGGGCUGCAGCUCUUUGGCUGUCAGUUGACUNGGCUGGGCGGGUCCAAUAUCAGUUGGGUUCCAUCUUGCCUUGGCCUGAGCGUUCCUGGCUGUGAGGGGUGGCUUGAAAAACUCUUAAGCAUUUUUUCUGAAGACAGACUGCUAGCUGGCUUGCUGGCUGCAGACUGAUUUAAUAAUGACAACUCUCAACAACGGAUAUCUUGGCUCCCGUAACGAUGAAGAACGCAGCGAAAUGCGAUACGUAGUGUGAAUUGCAGAAUUCCGUGAACCAUCGAAUCUUUGAACGCAAAUUGCGCUUGAGGCUUCGGCCAAGAGCAUGUCUGGCUCAGCGUCGGCUUACUACCCUCAAUGAAUUCCCUUGUGGACACUGAUUGGAGCUGGCUUUCCGGUUUUCCGACUAGGUUGCCGGUCAGCUGAAAAACAUUCGCGCUAUGGGAGCUGCUUUCCCUUCAAAAAGGAAAGCCGAGUUCCGAUUUGGUAGGUGACCUUUGCCGGUUGCAUGCCUUCGUUGCUCGCCAUGGCUUCCAUGAAAGCGUGUGCAGGACGCCUUUUGGCUUUCGACCUGAGCUCAGGCAAGAACACCCGCUGAACUUAAGCAUAUCAAUAAGCGGAGGAAAAGAAACUAACUAGGAUUCCCUUAGUAGCGGCG
rnacentral:rRNA from 1 species